rnacentral:rRNA from 1 species
UACGGGGGGGGUAAGCGUUGUUCGGAAUUACUGGGCGUAAAGGGCUCGUAGGCGGCCAACUAAGUCGGACGUGAAAUCCCUCAGCUUAACUGGGGAACUGCGUCCGAGACUGGAUGGCUUGGAUUUGGGAGAGGGAUGCGGAAUUCCAGGUGUAGCGGUGAAAUGCGUAGAUAUCUGGAGGAACACCGGUGGCGAAGGCGGCAUCCUGGACCAAUAUUGACGCUGAGGAGCGAAAGCCAGGGGAGCAAACGGG